AAAAAAUUGAAUCUUUUCAUUCUUGAUCUCUCAUCUUUUUGCUAAAUUCAUCAAGAUUCAAUCUUUUCUUAAAACCCCAUUUGACAAAAAUGCAUGAUUUUUGCUUUACAAUCCCUUAUGGUUUGAUUCUUGUGUGUGGUGGAAUUAUAGGGUAUUUCAAGAAAGGAAGUAUAGCUUCAUUGGGUGGAGGUUUGGGUACUGGUUUUUUGCUUAUUUUUGCUGGUUACUUGAGUCUCCAAGCAUUUCACAAGCGCAAAAACUCUUACUUUGGUUUGAUUCUUGAAACAGUUUGUGCUGCUGUGUUAACAUGGGUCAUGGGACAGCGGUACAUGCAAACUUCAAAGAUAA
rnacentral:misc_RNA from 1 species